rnacentral:rRNA from 1 species
GAUGAACGCUGGCGGCGUGCCUAAUACAUGUAAGUCGAGCGAACGGACGAGAAGCUUGCUUCUCUGAUGUUAGCGGCGGACGGGUGAGUAACACGUGGAUAACCUACCUAUAAGACUGGGAUAACUUCGGGAAACCGGAGCUAAUACCGGAUAAUAUUUUGAACCGCAUGGUUCAAAAGUGAAAGACGGUCUUGCUGUCACUUAUAGAUGGAUCCGCGCUGCAUUAGCUAGUUGGUAAGGUAACGGCUUACCAAGGCAACGAUGCAAAGCCGACCUGAGAGGGUGAUCAGCCACACUGGAACUGAGACACGGUCCAGACUCCUACGGGAGGCAGCCGUAGGGAAUCUUCCGCAAUGGGCGAAAGCCUGACGGAGCAACGCCGCGUGAGUGAUGAAGGUCUUCGGAUCGUAAAACUCUGUUAUUAGGGAAGAACAUAUGUGUAAGUAACUGUGCACAUCUUGACGGUACCUAAUCAGAAAGCCACGGCUAACUACGUG